rnacentral:rRNA from 1 species
GUGGGGAAUAUUGGACAAUGGGCGAAAGCCUGAUCCAGCCAUGCCGCGUGUGUGAAGAAGGUCUUCGGAUUGUAAAGCACUUUAAGUUGGGAGGAAGGGCAGUAAGUUAAUACCUUGCUGUUUUGACGUUACCAACAGAAUAAGCACCGGCUAACUCCGUGCCAGCAGCCGCGGUAAUACGGAGGGUGCGAGCGUUGUCCGGAUUUAUUGGGUUUAAAGGGUGCGUAGGCUGGAAGGUCAGUCAGCGGUGAAAAGCUGUCGCUUAACGAUAGUCUUGCCGCAGAUACUUCCUUUCUUGGAUGAGGAGGAGGCCACUGGAACGGAUGGUGUAGCGGUGAAAUGCAUAGAUAUCAUCCAGAACACCGAUUGCGAAGGCAGGUGGCUGUACCUUAAUCGACGCUGAUGCACGAAAGCAUGGGGAGCAAACAGGAUUAGAAACCCUAGUAGUCC